UUUCUUGCGCGGAAGAGAGCUGUUGCUCGGUGAAGCGUUUCCCGCCAAUUUGCCGGACUAUACAUUUUUCGCAUGAGUGUGGGGUGCAUAUGCAUAUCGGUGGUUGACUGUGAGUGUGAUCGCGCGUGUGUGUGGUUAACUAACUUUGUGCUCGAACAAACCAACUUUCAUCAUGGGGCUCUCAAGUGAAGGUGAUCAAGAGGUCAGGGCUUGUUUUCAAGAGGUUUGCUCCAGCCUAAACAUGGAUCGCCUCACAUCUGAUCAAGCUUUGAACACGUACGAGAACAUCAGCAUGAACUACACUCUUGAGGGUAACAUGCGACAUUGGAUAGCAUGUGCGCUCUACGUUGAGUGCAGGAAUGGGAAUGUGCCCACAGUAGCCCACACAUCACGCAUCGAAGGCAACUGUGUUUCCCUCACCAGGCUGCUCUCCAUAUGCAGAAUUAGCUUGCUAGAUUUCUUUACAAAGAUGAAAAAGUGGGCAGAUAUGGCUAAUUUGAAUGAGCGGAUGCGACAACGCAUUGAAACUAUAGAGAAGAGCUUCUGUGUCACCGCAAAAAUUUAUGAAAAAUACGUCCAGAUCUUCACCAGCGUAUUCAAGGAGCACCAAACCACUGCUCAGCGUCGUUCCAUCAAGGCUGUGAAACGGAGGGUUCACAGACCUGCUCAGUGCAGUUCAAAUGACAUGUUUCAUUUCAUCUGGACACUGUAUGUGUACAUCAAAGGUCGUUUCUCGGCCAUCUGCUGUGACCUUGUCAACUGCUACCACCUCUUGUUGUGUUGUAUCGACUAUGGCUAUUGCGCAGCCUUAGCUGCAAAGCGUACAGACCUCCUCGAUCCUAAAUUUUACGAAGCGCAGCAAGAUAAACUAAAAAAAGACAGUGACAAUCAGGAUGUUGGAAUCAUACGAGAGCUUGUGAAAAGCCAUGAUGGCAACUUUGAGGAUGCGUCCGUUCUCAAGGCCCACCACUUCAGGCAUCCUAUUCAGCAGCUCAUGGAAGAAAAGAUCCUGCACGGUGACUUGAAGACUCUGGCAUUGUGUCUUGAUCCAGUAGCCUUUGACACCAGCAUCAAAAAGCUCAACAAGACCUAUGAAGAGGGUGUCCUCAAGGAGGGUGAACUGGAUGAACGGAUCUUUCUUGAUGAAAAUGCACAGGACCGCAUAGGUACACCACGACACACCUUGGACUCUGUGCAGCGGGAGCUGCGAAUGUGCCAAGCUGACAUUGUAGUCAAGCUGGUGGAGGUUCCCCAGCUCCUGACACCCUUGACGGGCCGCAGCAAUUUGCACAAUCGUGAGGCCAUCAAUCGGAGCCCAGUGUCAACUGCUACUCAGUGUGCAAGCAAGUUGCAGGCCCUUUUGGCUGGCUGCAAGAAUGCACCAAGCAAGGAACUACAGGCUCUCUUCAGCACGCUUGAUCCUUCUCUGGAAGCCAGUGUCUUGGAGACUGUGAAGUCAAUGGGGGAUGCCUUCUGUACUGCGUACGCUCAGCCUGCAUCUGACCAGCGAGGUGGCAGUGCACACAUGGACUUUGCUCGAAAACGGCUGCAGUUAGGAGAAACCUUGUUCUACAAGGCACUGGAAAAUAUUGUCAACAUUGAAAUGAAGCAGAAAAGGCCAAAUACAGACCUUGCGGCACACCUAAGUCACAGCAUCUUUCAGCAGUCACUUUUUGCAUGCUGCCUCGAGAUCGUGAUGUUCUGUUACAACUCACAGCGAGAUUUCCCGUGGAUCUUGGAAGUCUUCAAUUUGAUGCCUUACAACUUCUACAAGAUCAUUGAGCCUUUAAUCCGUGCUGAAGAGGGCUUGUGGCGAGAAGUGGUGAAGCACCUUAAUCAUAUCGAGGAGCAAAUCCUGGAGUGUCUAUCUUGGAAAGAUGACUCACCUCUGUGGGAUGCUAUUGAGCAUUCUGAACAGCCUGUACCAAUGUGCAAAGAGGUAUUGCUUCAGCGGCAGAUCGAGACAUUUCAGGAGGUUGAUGGAAAUGAUAUUGGUGAACCACAUACUCCUGGUGCCCAUUUGCCACUGAAAGGUCUGAGAGGUGACCAGGAUGUUUCCCUGUCAAAUAGGAAGGACGUGCCACUUUCACCUGUGUCGGUGGCGGAGCGGUUCCAGUCUCCAGGCAGUGCAGUGCGUCGCAGGCUAUUUGCACCCAACAGCACAGGAGGUGGUGCUAGCGCCCCCUUACAGCAGAGCCCCCGGGUGGAGUCGGGUGCCACGGGCCAGACGCGCACCGUGUCCAUCACGGUGCAGCCUGUUCAAGCUGGCUGCACCACUAGGUAUGUUACUGUAGAUAGCAAGAGUGCUGCAGCACCAACGUCGGAUGGCACCAGGCCAAACAUUGUUACGGUGACAUCGGCACCUGAAAUCCCCAAAGAAAACAAGCCACUUCGUUCUGGUUCUCUGGCGCUUUUUUUCCGAAAGGUUUACCAUUUGGCAGGUGUGCGUUUUCAAGACCUCUGUGCAAGGCUGGGAAUCCUGCAGAAGGACAUACAGCUCAAAAUAUGGACAUGCUUUGAGCAUUCUAUUGUCUGCCACAUUGAUCUCAUGAGGGACCGACAUUUGGACCAGCUCAUUUUGUGUGCAGUUUAUGUCAUCACUAAAGUGACCCGGGUAGAGAAGAGCUUUCAAGAAAUUCUGCACUGUUACCGGCAACAGCCUCAGAACAAGAGCCAUGUGUAUCGCAGCGUACUGUUACGAAAGAAUCCAACACAUAGUGACAACAGCAGUCGCACAGGCUCUAACUCCAGUUCACCUGUUCCAGUGGACAAAGAUGAUGGAGAUAACAAACGGACUGAACAAUUGAGCUCCACACGGUCAUCCAGCACACUUCCCAUGAUGCUUCCCAACAGUCAGCCUCCAACUCCAACUCGCUUGGCCGGCACUGCAACGCAGUUUGAGUUUGAUGAACGGGGUGACAUCAUAAAGUUUUACAAUGAAAUAUACAGGAAAAGAAUGACGACAUUUGCCAUAAAAUUCUCUCCAGAUUCAAGCAAGAAUGAAAGUGUUGGCCUGACGCCAUUGCCUCGAGCGAAAUGUGUGGUCAACUCGCCACGGCGGCAGGUGUCACACAACAGAAAAGUUUUUGUAUCACCGCUCAAAGCUGGUUGCUAUCCUGUGUCGCCCAAGCACCAUACUUAUCACUUUAGCCAAAGUCCAGCCAAGGAUCUACGUGUCAUCAACCGUAUGGUUCAGAGCAGUGAGAAUGUGAGCAAGCGUAUCUUGCAUGAGGAUGAUAUUUCGGAGGAUGAGACCCCUGCGACAAAGCGAUGUUUCUUCAAGAAGAUUCAGACGGUCAUGAAGGAGCGCCAGGACAUCUGUGGUGGAGGCAGCAGCACAGACAACUGAAGGGAGGUGCUAAUGUAAAGAUGAAGCUAUCCACCCAUUACAUAUUUAAUAUGCCAUUUUCAUUUUCUGCUGGACUGACAUCCCUCAUCUGUGUUCUCGAUCACAGUUGCUAUCAUUUUCACAUUUGGGGGCUGCACCAACUACAUGUGCCGGGGCAUGUAAGUGGAGUUAUCCUUAAGAUGAGAAGCUGAAAUGCAGAAUUGUUGGUCUUGUUGUGUGAGCAGAUUUCGUAUAUUUUUGCAUCUCAGUGGCUUUCCCAGGAGGAAACGUAGUAUAUUUGUGUCUAUAAUCAUUAAUUUUUUUUUCAUAGCAUUUCAGAAACAAAAGGUCCAUUUGCUUGAAAUUCUCCGGCACUAAGCACAUCAGAGUUAGUGUAGUGCAUCCGCAUUUAUCGCUUGUUGCCACACAAAAUGCCUCAUUGCACUACUGGUGCGAGUUCUUACUGCUCCUGUUUCUUGCGACUGAUAUUUCACAUUUGUCAUGUGAGCUUGUACUAUUGUUUAUUGUUGUCUUUUCUGGUCGAGCCUGUCAUAUUAUUUUAUGUUUUGAGUCUCCAGGAGACUGAGUCGUUGACCAGUAUAAGGAAGUGCUGUAAUAUUUUAUGCUCAUUUAGAGUUUAAAAACUUUAGUGUUUUAUUCUAAACUGGAACACUGUUUUCAGGACAUAUGGCUUAUUUACUUUAAUUUGCCAUUUAACAAUAGCUUAGACCCUGUGUUUGUUUUGUGCUCUAUCCUUGCAAGCAUGUCACCAUGUUUGUCCUGUCAUGUCAACAAAAAAAAAAAAUUUAUCCCAGUCUCAUAUACUGGCAUGUUUCUCCCAAAGCAGUCAUUCAUCUUCAAGUUGUGUGUUAGCAUGUAAUUUGCAAUCGCUUUGAGUGCACAGAUAACUGUAACAAACUAUUUUUAUUGCUCGGUAGCAUCAAAAUAAUUUCUUACUGCAGUUUGAAAUGUAUAUCUAUAGGUAUAUAAACGGCACAGGUUUUCGUGUAAUCAGACUGCAAAAAUUAAGUGUGGACAUGUUUUAGAAGAUGGGAAAAUCUGCAUGACUGGUCAUUUUAUGUUGCACAUUUAACAUAAGUCCUGUAUUCCACUUGUUCUGAUUGAGCAUUACAUGCCACUACAUUUUUUAAGCACAUAUAGUUGUGUAAAAAAAUAUAGUAGCCUGUGUUAUGCCUUUUUGCCUAUAUGUAAAUAUGUGUCCCAUAUACACUGCUGGUUCCUGUGUCCUUACUGUACAGUGCUGGAAA
rnacentral:misc_RNA from 1 species